GGACCAGACAGUGUUUUGUUCUGUUGUACAUAGGGUCACUACGAGUUAGAACCAACUCGAAGGCACCUAACAACAACAAUGCUGAUCAAAACUGUGUAAAAGUUCAAAUCCACUCCAUUCUUAUGUUUGAAACGUCAGGAGCAGAAGCUCAAGUCAACCUGCUCUGCUAUGUAAUUGCCAAGAAGUCUUUUUUUGUAACUUGUUAUGAAGCAGCUUACUUUUAAUAAGUGGUGAUGUGAGGAAUCUUUAUGAUUUUCUGUGGCAGUAGAGCAGUGGUUCUCAAUCAGGCUGAUUUUGUUCCGUAGGGGACAUUUGGCAAUGUCUGGAGACAUUUUUGGUUGUCAUAACUGGGGGAGGUGGAGAGGUAGCUACUGGCAUCUGGUUGGUAGAGGGCAGGGAUGGUGCUAAACAUCCUACAAUAAACAGGACAAGUCCCCCACAACAGAGAAUGAUCCAGUCUAAAAUGUAAUAGUGUCAAGGUUGAGAAACCAUGUUGUUGUUAUUAGUUUCCGUCAAGUUGAUUCCAACCCCAUGUAUGCAGAGUAGAACUGCUCCACAGUGUUUUUAAGGUUAUGACCUUUCGGAGGUGCUCAAUGUUUGCACCAUCCAGGGAUUCUUCAGAAACACUACCGUAGAGUAUUUCACCAAGAUUCUACAAGGACAAUAAAAAUUAGUGAAGAAUUUAAAUUAUAAACUUUUUAAAUGAACUUUUACACAGAAAGAGUAAUCCUAACCGAUACGUAGCAUAACGCCUUCAGCAAUGAUCUGUUAGAAUCACUUUAGGAACAUGUUGUUGCUGGCAUGCGGCUAUGUGUUUAAAAUCAUUUGUCCCGUUCCAUAGGUUAAAGGCUGCCCCUGUGAUCACGCUGGAUUUUACAUUCACUUAUUUACUCUUUGCACUCCACAGCUAAGCAUCUGCUAUGUAGCAAGCCUCAGGGAUACAGAGAAUAAAAAUAACAACCACGCUACUACAAGGAAAAGAGAAAAUAAUCACAAACAAAACCUAGUCCAGAGUGGAGAAAGUGAAUAGACAAUGUAACAGCCUGUGCGAUAAGUAUCAGGAAAGAUAGAGGCACAGGUGUAGGGCCCAAUUCAGGCAUGGGUCUGGGGGAGAAAGGGAGACUGUUCCCUCAAAGGGAUGGUACCAAAGCUGAGUCUUGCAGAAGCAGGAGUGGGUGAAGAAGUUGAGGACCGGAGUUUGGGUGGAUGGAGCUGCCAGGGUAAAUAUGCAUUCUGUUUCUCGGUAUAUACCAACCAUGAUAAAAAUAAUAAGUAACGGUUGUGGAGCAAAAACGAGGAGCCCAGAACUGUUCUAAGAGCCUUGCCUGUAUUAACUUAGUUAAUUCUCUCAGAAGUUCUAUGAGGUAGGUAGUAUUGUUAGUCUCAUUUUACAGGUGAGGAAUCUGAGGCAUGGGGUAGUUCAAGUAACUUGCCCAAGGUCACACAACUAACGAUUGCAGUUGGGAUUCAAACUCAGUUUCUCUGGCUCCAAAGGCUAAACUAGUAACCACUACCUUAUAUAAUCUAAAAGCCAGAAGCUAUGGCAACUGUCUUCAAAAAGGACUAUUAGCUAAGAGAUGUACCUAGCAUUCAUUUAAAAGGCACAAUAGACCUACUGGGUGGAAGUCACCUGCCUUGUAAACCAUGCUCUUAGGAUGAAGACCAAACUCCAAACCAUGGGUUAGCAGGUCCUGCUUGAUCAACCACAGAUGUAUCUCUAUCCUAAUCCCUCUUAAUCUCCAUCUUGACAUAGGCAGCCCCUUCAGGUGUUUUUGGACCUAGAUUAUAUCUGCCAUGGUCUUUCCUCUCCCUUCCUGCAGUCUUGAAGACCAAGUCCUCUCUAUCCUCACCCAAGCCAGUUUUCAUCAACACUGGAGUGUUCCAAGAGGCUAGAGCCCUUCAAUAAUGCCCCCGAGGCCCUUCCUCACCAGCAGCAGAUUCCUGGUUGAUGAACACCCUUUGAACACAGUCAUUUCCCCAGUUAACACCCAGACCACAUUUUCACAUGGACUCUACCAAGGUAUGAGAAACUAUCAGAUACCCGUACAGAAUCCAGAUGAUCAGCCUCCAGCACUGCACUGACCCAUCUGUCAACUAACACCACCAUUCUUUAGAAUGAGAGAUGUUGAAGAAUCAGCUGAGCUCCCUGACCCUAAAGAUUAUAAAGCAAGAAAAGAGCAAUUUGCUGAAAAAGCUACAGACUGUGUUUGCAGACGCAGAGAAAACAACUGAAGAUUAUACACGGAAUUUUUACUGGGGUACAAAGGAAAUUAGUAUUUUACACAUGUAAUUUUCAAAUCAAAUUUUACUACUGCCUUUAACUUUUGUAUGUUCUUAAAAGGUAAGAAUAAAAAAAAACUUUGUGGCUACUCUUCACUUUUUCUUUCAAAAAUUUCACUGCCAAUCAACAUCUCCUAUUUAAAAGGGGAAUGGAAAGAGCCAACGCCCCCAAACUGCCUGAUUCAGUGGCCUGAGACAGUAACCAGGGAGCUACAAGUAGUUAAGGGGUUGGUCCUUGGCCUUCACAAUGAGAAAGGGAUUCCAGCGAGGCAGCAAGACUGCCAGAGCUUGUUUCUGAUCUGGGUAGCACACUUCUUUGAAAAGCAUUGGUGUUUUCUGUACAUUUGACAGACCUGUCAGAUCUUGCCCCAUAUCGAAGUUUUUGGGGUUUCCUCAAGAAAAUACCCCCUAUAACUGGACCACCAGGUGAGAUGCCCACUUCUUUAUGAAGAGAAAGAAAGGAAAAAUAAAAGCAAAACAACAAGGCAAUUCUAUGUAAAGAAUUACAGAAUCCGUCUUUUUUUUUUUUUUUUUAAAAGAAAUUUGU